rnacentral:rRNA from 1 species
CCUACGGGUGGCAGCAGUGAGGAAUAUUGGUCAAUGGGCGUAAGCCUGAACCAGCCAAGUAGCGUGCAGGAUGACGGCCCUACGGGUUGUAAACUGCUUUUAUACGGGAAUAACGUGCCUUACGUGUAGGGUUUUGCAUGUACCGCAUGAAUAAGGACCGGCUAAUUCCGUGCCAGCAGCCGCGGUAAUACGGAAGGUCCGGGCGUUAUCCGGAUUUAUUGGGUUUAAAGGGAGCGUAGGCCGCAUGUCAAGCGUGCUGUGAAAUGCCCGGGCUCAACCCGGGCCUUGCAGCGCGAACUGGCUUGCUUGAGUGCGCGGAAGGCAGGCGGAAUUCGUGGUGUAGCGGUGAAAUGCUUAGAUAUGACGAAGAACCCCGAUUGCGAAGGCAGCUUGCUGCAGCGGAACUGACGCUGAUGCUCGAAAGCGCGGGUAUCGAACAGGAUUAGAUACCCGGGUAGUC